UACGUAGGAUGCAAGCGUUGUCCGGAAUUAUUGGGCGUAAAGAGCGCGCAGGCGGUUUGCCAAGUCAGAUGUGAAAGAGGCCGGCUUAACCGGCAAGGGUCAUUUGAAACUGACAGACUAGAGUGCAGCAGAGGAUAGCGGAAUUCCCGGUGUAGUGGUGAAAUGCGUAGAUAUCGGGAGGAACACCAGUGGCGAAGGCGGCUAUCUGGGCUGCAACUGACGCUGAGGCGCGAAAGCCAGGGGAGCAAACGGG
rnacentral:rRNA from 1 species